GCCUCCUUAGCUCAGUUGGCCAGAGCAGCUGUCUUGUAAACAGCAGGUCAUCGGUUCGAAUCCGAUAGGGGGCUCCA
rnacentral:tRNA from 1 species